rnacentral:rRNA from 1 species
AUUGAACGCUGGCGGCAGGCUUAACACAUGCAAGUCGAGCGAGCGGCGGACGGGUGAGUAAUGUUUGGGAAACUGCCUGAUGGAGGGGGAUAACUACUGGAAACGGUAGCUAAUAACGCAUACUAUCAGAUGUGCCCAGAUGGGCUUAGCUAGUAGGUGGGGUAAUGGCAAACCUAGGCGACGAUCCCUAGCUGGUCUGAGAGGAUGACCGGCCACACUGGAAUGGAGACACGGUCGAGACUCCGCCGGGAGACUGCAGUGGGGAAGAUUGCACAAUGGGCGCAAGCCUGAUGCGGCCAUGCCGCGUGUGUGAAGAAGGCCUGCGGGUUGUAAAGCACGUUCAGCGAGGAAGCGUUACUCGCAGAAGAAGCACCGGCUAACACCGUGCCAGCAGCCGCGGUAAUUC